rnacentral:rRNA from 1 species
GACGCACGCUGGCGGCGUGCUUAACACAUGCAAGUCGAACGAAGUGGCGAACGGGGGAGUAACGAGUAAUCAACCUGCCCGUCAGAGGGGGACAACAGUUGGAAACGACUGCUAAUACCGCAUACUGAAGGAGGGGAUGGCGGCUGAUUAGCUAGUUGGAGGGGUAACGGCCCCCCAAGGCGAUGAUCAGUAGCCCGGCUGGGAGGAUGAACGGCCACAUUGGGACUGAGACACGGCCCAGACUCCUACGGGCGGCAGCAGUGGGGAAUCUGCCGCAAUGGACGAAAGUCUGACGGAGCAACGCCGCGUGAGUGAUGACGGCCUUCGGGUUGUAAAGCUCUGUUAAUCGGGACGCGGUACCGGAAUAGAAAGCCACGGCUAACUACGUGCCAGCAGCCGCGGUAAUAC